AAGAGACAGCAGUAGCCGCGGUAAUACGAAGGGGGCUAGCGUUGUUCGGAAUUACUGGGCGUAAAGCGCACGUAGGCGGAUAUUUAAGUCAGGGGUGAAAUCCCAGAGCUCAACUCUGGAACUGCCUUUGAUACUGGGUAUCUUGAGUAUGGAAGAGGUGAGUGGAAUUCCGAGUGUAGUGGUGAAAUUCGUAGAUAUUCGGAGGAACACCAGUGGCGAAGGCGGCUCACUGGUCCAUUACUGACGCUGAGGUGCGAAAGCGUGGGGAGCAAACAGGAUUAGAUACCCGCGUAGUCCCUGUCUCUUAUAC
rnacentral:rRNA from 1 species